UACAGAGGGGGCAAGCGUUGUUCGGAAUUACUGGGCGUAAAGGGCGCGUAGGCGGCCCGCUAAGUCGAACGUGAAAUCCCCGGGCUCAACCCGGGAACUGCGUCCGAUACUGGCGGGCUUGAAUCCGGGAGAGGGAUGCGGAAUUCCAGGUGUAGCGGUGAAAUGCGCAGAUAUCGGGAGGAACACCUAUGGCGAAGGCAGCUCGCUGGGACGUUACUGACGCUGAGACGCGAAAGCGUGGGGAGCAGACGGG
rnacentral:rRNA from 1 species